CCCGCGACAAGCGGUGGAGCAUGUGGUUUAAUUCGUAAGCAACGCGAAGAACCUUACCAGGUCUUGACAUCCCGAUGCUAUUCUAGAGAUAGAAAGUUACUUCGGUACAUCGGUGACAGGUGGUGCAUGGUUGUCGUCAGCUCGUGUCGUGAGAUGUUGGGUUAAGUCCCGCAACGAGCGCAACCCCUAUUGUUAGUUGCCAUCAUUCAGUUGGGCACUCUAGCGAGACUGCCGGUAAUAAACCGGAGGAAGUGGGAUGACGUCAAAUCAUCAUGCCCCUUAUGACCUGGGCUACACACGUGCUACAAUGGUUGGUACAACGAGUUGCGAGUCGGUGACGGCGAGCUAAUCUCUUAAAGCCAAUCUCAGUUCGGAUUGUAGGCUGCAACUCGCCUACAUGAAGUCGGAAUCGCUAGUAAUCGCGGAUCAGCACGCCGCGGUGAAUACGUUCCCGGGCCUU
rnacentral:rRNA from 1 species